rnacentral:tRNA from 1 species
UAACUUAGUUGGUAGAGUGCUUGCCUUGCAUGCACAAGGCCCUGGGUUCAAUCCCCAG